UACGUAGGGGGCAAGCGUUGUCCGGAUUUAUUGGGCGUAAAGAGCGUGUAGGCGGCCAGGUAGGUCUGCUGUGAAAACUCGAGGCUUAACCUCGAGAUGUCGGCGGAAACCAUCUGGCUAGAGUCCGGAAGAGGAGAGUGGAAUUCCUGGUGUAGCGGUGAAAUGCGCAGAUAUCAGGAAGAACACCCGUGGCGAAGGCGAGUCCCUGGACAACUUCUGACGCUGAGGCACGAAAGCUAGGGGAGCAAACAGG
rnacentral:rRNA from 1 species